AUUGAACGCUGGCGGCAUGCCUUACACAUGCAAGUCGAACGGUAACAGGUCUUCGGAUGCUGACGAGUGGCGAACGGGUGAGUAAUACAUCGGAACGUGCCCGAUCGUGGGGGAUAACGAGGCGAAAGCUUUGCUAAUACCGCAUACGAUCUACGGAUGAAAGCGGGGGAUCUUCGGACCUCGCGCGGACGGAGCGGCCGAUGGCAGAUUAGGUAGUUGGUGGGAUAAAAGCUUACCAAGCCGACGAUCUGUAGCUGGUCUGAGAGGAUGAUCAGCCACACUGGGACUGAGAAACGGCCCAGACUCCUACGGGAGGCAGCAGUGGGGAAUUUUGGACAAUGGGCGAAAGCCUGAUCCAGCCAUGCCGCGUGCAGGAUGAAGGCCUUCGGGUUGUAAACUGCUUUUGUACGGAACGAAAAGCCUCUUUCUAAUAAAGAGGGGUCAUGACGGUACCGUAAGAAUAAGCACCGGCUAACUACGUG
rnacentral:rRNA from 1 species